AGGAACGAUGUGCGCUGACACAGGAAUGCUGUGAUUGGAAUAAUUUCACUACUUGCUCCCCCAGAGAAAAGCAGAACUCGUGACUUUUUCCCCAAAAAGUAACAAGAGUUAAGGAGUCCUUUGUCUGGGAAUCAGGCGCCUUCUUUAGUUUGGAAGUUGAUAGAGUCGCGCCUUUUACAGGACCAACACGUUUAAAAUACAUUGACCUCUGGUAUGCUUUGAAUCAUAUACAAGUGUUCUCAAGUGCGCUACAUUUCCAGAGAUGUGAGGCGAAUGGGGGUGGGCACACAUUUUAAGCUGAUUUUGGACUGAAGUGAACAUAGUUGGAUUGGUAACCAGGCCUCAGACCUAACAAGCUGCAGUGGAGCUUGUUGGGCCCCAGCCCUUAGAAAUGAGUUCCUGGCGGACAUGUGGCUCGGCAUGCCAGGAAUACAGAAAGAACAUCUUGGAAAAAUGCCUUGGCCAUACGUGGGGUGGUAUGACAGAAAAUAAAAGAUAACCACCGGUCUGUGCGUUGCCAGAUAAUAAAUGCAAA